rnacentral:rRNA from 1 species
UACGGAGGGUGCGAGCGUUGUCCGGAAUGACUGGGCGUAAAGGGCGCGUAGGCGGCCUGAUAAGUCGGGGGUGAAAUCCUGCGGCUUAACCGCAGGGCUGCCUUCUAAACUGUCAGGCUAGAGCACAGUAGAGGCAGGUGGAAUUCCCGGUGUAGCGGUGGAAUGCGUAGAGAUCGGGAAGAACAUCAGUGGCGAAGGCGGCCUGCUGGGCUGUUGCUGACGCUGAGGCGCGACAGCGUGGGGAGCAAACAGG